rnacentral:rRNA from 1 species
UACGGAGGGGGCUAGCGUUGUUCGGAAUUACUGGGCGUAAAGCGCGCGUAGGCGGACCUGCAAGUCGGGUGUGAAAGCCCCGGGCUCAACCUGGGAAUUGCAUUCGAGACUGCGUAGCUAGGGUGCGGAAGAGGGAAGCGGAAUUUCCGGUGUAGCGGUGAAAUGCGUAGAUAUCGGAAGGAACACCAGUGGCGAAAGCGGCUUCCUGGUCCAGCACCGACGUUCAGGCACGAAAGCGUGGGGAGCAAACAGG